AUUACUUUAGCAAAAAGUGUAUUAAAUUUAGAAUUUAAAGAUGUAAUGUUAAUUACAAGUAAUA
rnacentral:tRNA from 1 species